GCGGGGCAACCCCGGUCUGACUAUGCAGAGUGAACGGCAUGGCCUGUGGCGCUGACUGACUGGGUGGAGGAGGUGGUGGCACUGUAGGGUCAUACUGGGCGUCAUCCCGAGCCACUGGUGGUCUACCCUGCUGACCACCGAUCUCCUGCCUAAGGCUAGCCAAAGCCUCCUGGAUAGAAGCCAUGGCGGCCGUGAACUGAUCCACGGUAACAACCUGCUGAUCCAUACUCUGUCUCUCUGAAUAUCGGACUAAUCUCCCCUCAACUCUGACCCAGGAAGGUG
rnacentral:lncRNA from 1 species